rnacentral:rRNA from 1 species
UACAGAGGUCUCGAGCGUUAGGCGGAAUCACUGGGCUUAAAGCGUGUGUAGGCGGAUCGUUAAGUACCUUGUGAAAUCCCACGGCUUAACCGUGGAAUUGCUGGGUAUACUGGCGGUCUUGAGCCACUUAGGGGCUACCGGAACAAAUGGUGGAGCGGUGAAAUGCGUAGAUAUCAUUUGGAACGCCAAUGGUGAAAACAGGUAGCUGGGAGUGUGCUGACGCUGAGACACGAAAGCCAGGGAGCAAACGGG